AGAUAGUUGGGUGCAAAGGGAACAAAGUACAGAGACUAAUAGCCUUCCUCCAAGACUCUACUCUAAUGAAACGCCAAGGCAACAAUCCUACAAGGUUGACUAGCAUUACUUGGAGAAAAUGGCAGCAGAGUCUGGUCUCUCAGAUUUUUCAGCCUGGCAUUUCUAGCCCUACACAGAGUACAAUUCUUCAUACUGGAGAUCUUUCCAGAAGUAAGCCCAACUGAGUUCCUUCAACUUUAAGGGCUGAAAUAAUAGGACCCCACUGCCAAACCAGCGUUAACUCACAAAAUUAGGAACAAUUAUUUUCCCUGUUAAAGGUAAGCGGCACUCUUUCCUCCUUGGAAAUUCUCUUAAGAGUCAGGGUGGCGCUGUGGUUAAGAUUAAGAUGCUGAGCUAGUAUCAAGAAGAGCCAGGAUCAAGUCUGUCUACAUCCAUGGUAGCUUUCUGCAAACAAUUGGGCUGAUCAUUAGCUCUUGACCUACUUCAAUGAGCUUUUGCUGUGAUAAAGAAAAAAGGCAGAAGGAUAUAGCUGUGAUAAAGAAACGAAGGCAGAGUGAUUUCCCAAGCAACGGUCUAAUAGUAAUCUAACAACUGGCGUCAAAGCCUGCCAAGGAUGUCGCUUUCACAGAAACAUUUAAUCCAGUGUUUUUUAAUCUCAGCAACUUUAAGAAGUGUGGGUAUCAACCCAACCAGGCUGGGGGAAUUCUGG